rnacentral:rRNA from 1 species
UACGUAGGGUGCAAGCGUUGUCCGGAAUUAUUGGGCGUAAAGAGCUCGUAGGCGGUUUGUCGCGUCUGCUGUGAAAUCCUGGGGGCUCAACCCCCAGCCUGCAGUGGGUACGGGCAGACUAGAGUGCGGUAGGGGAGGAUUGGAAUUCCUGGUGUAGCGGUGGAAAUGCGCAGAUAUCGAGGAGAACACCAAUGGCGAAGGCAGAUCUCUGGGCCGUAACUGACGCUGAGGAGCGAAAGCAUGGGGGAGCGAAACAGG